AUUGAACGCUGGCGGCAUGCUUUACACAUGCAAGUCGAACGGCAGCGCGGGCUUCGGCCUGGCGGCGAGUGGCGAACGGGUGAGUAAUGCAUCGGAACGUGCCCAGUAGUGGGGGAUAGCCCGGCGACAGCCGGAUUAAUACCGCAUACGACCUGAGGGUGAAAGCGGGGGACCGAAAGGCCUCGCGCUAUUGGAGCGGCCGAUGUCGGAUUAGCUAGUUGGUGGGGUAAAGGCUUACCAAGGCGACGAUCCGUAGCUGGUCUGAGAGGACGACCAGCCACACUGGGACUGAGACACGGCCCAGACUCCUACGGGAGGCAGCAGUGGGGAAUUUUGGACAAUGGGGGCAACCCUGAUCCAGCUAUGCCGCGUGCGGGAAGAAGGCCUUCGGGUUGUAAACCGCUUUUGUUCGGGAAGAAAUCCUCUGGGCUAAUACCCCGGGGGGAUGACGGUACCGGAAGAAUAAGCACCGGCUAACUACGUG
rnacentral:rRNA from 1 species